GAUGAACGCUGGCGGCGUGCCUAAUACAUGCAAGUCGAGCGGUAAGGCCCUUCGGGGUACACGAGCGGCGGACGGCUGAGUAACACGUAGGAACGUACCCCAAACUGAGGGAUAAGCACCAGAAAUGGUGUCUAAUACCGCAUGUGGCCCACGGGCUAAAGCUCCGGCGGUUUGGGAACGGCCUGCGUCCGAUUAGCUAGUUGGUAGAGUAAUAGCCUACCAAGGCGACGAUCGGUAGCUGGUCUGAGAGGAUGAUCAGCCAGACUGGGACUGAGACACGGCCCAGACUCCUACGGGAGGCAGCAGUAGGGAAUUUUCCACAAUGGGCGAAAGCCUGAUGGAGCAACGCCGCGUGCAGGAUGAAGGCCUUCGGGUUGUAAACUGCUUUUAUAUGUGACGAUUAUGACGGUAGCAUAUGAAUAAGGAUCGGCUAACUCCGUGCCAGCCGCCGCGGUAA
rnacentral:rRNA from 1 species